AAAUACUGAUUUUUUUGAGAUAGUAACAACACCUGAAAAAAGCACGCAUCAUUUGUUCAACGGUUUUGCACUUCUUUUUACAAAAAUCAGUCCAAUAUACCUGAUAAAAAAAAUUAAAAAUAUACCCAAAAAAUAAUAUAUAAAUCUGUUAGGAUUUAAACUUUAAAUCAGCCAUUUGUUGAUCAAAUAAAUCAGAUAAAUAACUUUACAUUUGUUGAUCAAAUAAAUAACUUUAUAUUUGUUGAUCAAAUAAAUCAGCCAACUGACUUGAAUUAUCAUUAGUAGAGUUUUCAAGUUCCUCAAUUAUAAGGUUUAAAAUGAAUAAGAACCACUUCUUUCUAUUAGUACAUCCAAUGGAAAGAAGAUGUACCUUCUCGUCAAAAUAGUGAAAUGUAUACCGAAAACACUUUACAUAAGUAAAUUCCAUAUCAAGUCUUAUAUUUCGUAUGAUAUAUAAUUCUAGUAAACAACAUUAGAAGAUGAAUCAAGUUUAUUCUGUUAUGAUAUCGACAUAUGAUGAAAGAAAAAUAUCCAUUUCACAGUUCAUUGUUAAUGGCAUAGAAGGUCUAGUAAUGGUUUAGCUUAAAAAGUAAAUAUUUGUAUGGAGUGACAUCAACUGAUACUUAAGAAAGAAAAUUAUCCAACAAAGAAUGGUAGGAAUAAGUAAUAAACCGCAUUUUACUAUAAGACCCAUUUAAUUGAUUAAGUAAAAUAAAUAAAAUGGUUUAAUAAUUUUUCGCAAAGUACAAUGAUAGAUUUCUCCCUUUGGGGGGGGGGGUGNNNNNNNNNNNNNNNNNNNNNNNNNNNNNNNNNNNNNNNNNNNNNNNNNNNNNNNNNNNNNNNNNNNNNNNNNNNNNNNNNNNNNNNNNNNNNNNNNNNNNNNNNNNNNNNNNNNNNNNNNNNNNGGGGGGGGGGGGGGGGGGGGGGGGGGGUAUUGGGCAAAGAGUGUUCGGGGCCAGAAUAAAAAAUAAUAAAAAGUAACCAAUAAACUUGCUAGAGUUGUAUUUAUAGAAGGUAUUGCUUUCCUCUAGAGAUGCUUUCCUCUAAAGAUAAGUGACUCGCCCAAUUUCCCUAUAAAAUAUUCAAAUUAAUAUGUUUUAUAAUACAAGAAUUUACCACAUGGAGAUUCAAGGUAAAGUUAUUUUUCAUAGGAAGUCAUAAUUUACAGGUUGUGACUAUUUUUCAAAUAAACUUUAGUCAUAUACCAUCAGAAUCCCCAAACAUGGACUACUACAUUCAUAUUUUUCAAUCUCUAGUGAUACCCACCAAGAAACAGAAAUACCUGUUUGCAUGAUUAUCAUGAGCAACAUAGUAGAAGGUGUACUUAGUUUAACACUUGUAGCUUGCAAACGACAAUUGGGAUGUUAUGGUGUUAUGAUAGCAUCCAAUCAAGUUUAUGAAGGCAGAAAUAAUGGACUUGCAUCAAAAUGCAUAAUUGCUUGUGCUUGAAAAUAUGCCAUUGGCCAUAUACAAAACCAAAAUAAUAAAUUGUCGACAUUAAUUCAUUGUAGUACCUAUAUAUCAAGCUUAUUAAGGUACCCUUUUAGCGGGCGCAUUAUCGUGUAACUUUAUUAAAUUAUAUGUUAAUAACUUACUGAAAAUGAUCAGUGCUAAGAAUCUAUGGCUUUCAUUUUCAAUUUAACAUUCCAUCAUGAAUUUAUAAUAAGAAAAAAAUGAUAAAAAGUAAAUAUUACAAUUUUUCUAUACUUUAGCAAAUAAGGUGUCUGAUUACCACUUAGGCACUUGAAAGUUAAAAUUUAAUACCUUCAGAGCUGAUUAAAAGUAUUAUAAUAUUUUUGUGAGAAAAAUUUGAGUUAAACAAAAAUACUGAUAAUUUUGAAUCAGUUGUCCAAAUAAUUUUUAAAUUGCUUUGUAAAAGCUCAAAUCUCUUCAAAGAUUUGGUAGACCAUGAAAUUUAAAUUUAUUUUAAUCAUCAUUGAAUGCUGACUCAAUAAAAAUUUAAAAAGGUGCAACAAAAUUUGGCCAAGAGUAUGAGAAUGACAUUGGUAUUCCCUCCAUUCCAAAGAAGAGGUCGAUUAGCCAAUUUUGAAGUCCAUGAGGUAGUUUACUUCCCAUUGUGAUAGAAAGAAAUUUCUGCAUAAAAAAUAUGUAACUAAAAAAUGUUGUUUAUUCAUUAAACUAUAAAUUACCAAUAUUUCAUUGUCAAAUAUCUCAUAAGCCGAUGAGUACAAAAAAAUCUAAAUAAGAAUCAUGUUACAAAAUUACCAUGGCUCCACUAUAUUCAGUCAUACCUUAUUAGGGAUUCCAGAGUUCAUAGUUUUCGAUUUGGCAUGUGAUGCCAUGCCAGUCAUCAACUAAAUAUUGGGGCUAUUUUAUAGUUCAUUAGAUUAACCAUGCCUACCAUAGAGGAAUGAAAAAAUUAUAUUUCUAAAUACAAUAAGAGCAGAAUUGAAAAAGGAACAAUAAUUGUAAAGGAGUCCAAAUGUGUGUGAAAGCCUUUUACUAUCUCCAUUAUCAGCAGUGGUGGAUCUACCUAUUAAAAAUGGGUGCUCGAGCACCCAUUAACCUCGACGCAGAGUAUGCAUAGUUGUAUAGAAAAUUUGAGAAAACGUAUAAAAAUUUACAAAAGCACCCAUUAAUUUUAUGUACAAAAAAAAUUCAGCACCCACAAACUUGAAUUCUUAGAUCCGCCACUGAUUAUCAGCCUUGAAAAUUAAUUCCAUUUUAUAUGUGCCUAGCUCCAAAUUAGUAGCCUGUUACUUUCUCUACUGAACAAAUUAUUUAAUAAUGAAAGAAAUGAAAAUCAAUGAGUGAAGGAAGAAAGAACCGGAAAAGUUUAUUGCUUUUCUAUAUUCUUAUUAAAUAUCUGUUCAUGAUCUAAAGAAGCAAGGAGUAAAAGGAAGAAAGAAUUAAAAAAUUCGUUGCUCUUUCUAGAAAUUUAAUUAAUGUUUUAGAAUUACAAAUCAUUGAACUUACCUCUUGGAGAAUUGUUAAGUGGUAUGCGAAGAAAUGAGAAAGAAUUGGAGGUUUAUACAUGUGAAAUUGAUCCAAAAAAUUUUGUUACUGGGACUCCGGCGAAGAAGGAUUAAUGGAUUGGAAGUUGAGAUCAUGGGACAACAUGGGUUGUUUGAAGCGCAACUCUUUAGGGUUUAGAAAUUUA
rnacentral:lncRNA from 1 species